AAACCAGCACCUCAAGUGGUCAGGAGGAUUAUUGGGCCUAAAGCAUCCGUAGCCUGUUCUAUAAGUUUUCGGUUAAAUCCAUUAGCUCAACUAAUGGGCUGCCGAAAAUACUGUAGAACUAGGGAGUGGGAGAGGUAGACGGUAUUCGGUAGGAAGGGGUAAAAUCCUUUGAUCUAUUGAGGACCACCUGUGGCGAAGGCGGUCUACCAGAACACGUUCGACGGUGAGGGAUGAAAGCUGGGGGAGCAAACCGGAUUAGAAACCCGAGUAGUCC
rnacentral:rRNA from 1 species